rnacentral:lncRNA from 1 species
AAAUUUUGACAUCAUUUUAAAAUUUUGAUGUAAAUUUUUAAAAUUUAAUUUUCAGUUUGAAUUUAAACUAAUAUGUUAGAAAGAGAAAAUUGUCAUAUUAAUUUGAUUACGUUUUUAAUAUCUAUCUGAACCAAAUACUGACAAUAUGAAUGAUUCAUUUCGAUUUCAUUUCGAUUUAGGUGGCGAACCAAAUAGGAUGAAAUAAUGAAUCAUUCUGAUUCCAUUUAGACUUUUUCAUUAAACAGAAUGAGGUGAUGAAAAUAAACUGAUCAGAACUGAAUAUUCAAUUAUUAAAAAUAAACUUAUAAAUAUGUACAGAGGUUUUCGUAUUU